GAUGAACGCUGGCGGCGUGCCUAAUACAUGCAAGUCGAGCGAACAGACGAGGAGCUUGCUCCUCUGACGUUAGCGGCGGACGGGUGAGUAACACGUGGAUAACCUACCUAUAAGGCUGGGAUAACUUCGGGAAACCGGAGCUAAUACCGGAUAAUAUAUUGAACCGCAUGGUUCAAUAGUGAAAGACGGUUUUGCUGUCACUUAUAGAUGGAUCCGCGCCGCAUUAGCUAGUUGGUAAGGUAACGGCUUACCAAGGCAACGAUGCGUAGCCGACCUGAGAGGGUGAUCGGCCACACUGGAACUGAGACACGGUCCAGACUCCUACGGGAGGCAGCAGUAGGGAAUCUUCCGCAAUGGGCGAAAGCCUGACGGAGCAACGCCGCGUGAGUGAUGAAGGUCUUCGGAUCGUAAAACUCUGUUAUUAGGGAAGAACAAAUGUGUAAGUAACUAUGCACGUCUUGACGGUACCUAAUCAGAAAGCCACGGCUAACUACGUG
rnacentral:rRNA from 1 species